UCCAAGGAGCGUUAGAAAAUACACCACCCCAACAAAUAAUCGGGGUACACACUACUAUCCGUAACAAACCUCCUUUGCCAACCAAUACUAUUCUCAACCACCUCCGAAUGAAUAUUCUCAAAUCUCAACCACCAUCCCCUUACGUUCCAUAAUCGCUUCUUCACAUUACGAGUAUAGUAUGGAUCCCCUUCCUCGGCCAUUGAUUGCCCAACUCUGCAGCUUUUCUAGGACUGUCGAGUUUCAACCAUUCAAGGAUGGUGAUGAUGACUUUAUGGACGAGUUUGUAGCCGAAACUCAACAACAACCAACUGGUUUUUUUAAUAAUAUUUGGAUCAAGAAACGAAGAUGAGGAUGUUUAAGAAGUUGAUAUGUGCGGGUAGAAAAAGGCAUUUGACGGGAAGCAAAAGCAUGCAAAUUGGCCACCGAAACAAGAGGUGGAGUUGGCACAAGUAUGGAUUCAAAUCUCAGAAUGUAAAAAUUUCAGAAUGAGCAAAUGGCGGAUUACUAUUGGAAGCGGGUUCUCGAGCAUUACACACAUACUAUGGGUUCCACAUCGUGAACCAUUCAUGGUUUGACGGCGAAGUAGAAAACAAUGAACGCCGCCAUGGAUCUCUUCAACGGAUUGUAUAUCCAAAAACAUGCUAAGGUUAGUAGGUGUAACGACUUGGACAUUAUGGAAUCGCUCUGAAGCACUACAAGACUCGGACAAAGAAAGAUUAUGGUAAUAUGCCGGCAUGCAAGGUGGUGAAGGAUCACGACAAAUGGGUCGGGCAAUAAUGUUUUCAAGAUUGUAGGCAUAGGAGGUUCGACUAGCGCUUCUUCAAAAAAGAAGUCGGGGAGUAUGAAUUGGCCAGCAACGACAACAUUCUUCCCGACAUGAAUGAAGACCCCUCUCCCAUUGAAUCAAGAAAAUCAAAAAUAAAAGCAAGCUGCAUCCUCUUCCUCGGCCCACAAUGUGACGAUGACAUUAGCUCCUACGCAAAUUCAUUUUAGGACCUAAAACGCGAGAAUGAUCAAUUUGCAGCAAAAUUUUGGGCUACACAACUCGAUGCGGUGAAGAUGAAGGUUCGAGCACAUCACCGAUAUCUCUAUGCCAAAAAAACGUAAACUUACCAAUAAGUACGGAUGACAAUGUAACUUUUAAGUUUUAGUUCUUUAUUUUUUUAGGAACUUGUUAAAUGUUUUGUUUUUUAGUCUUAGAUUAAAAAAAAUUUUAAGAAAAGUAUUUAGGAAGUGUUUGUGUUUAGUGUUAAAUGUAUUUUUUAUAUAUUUUUUAAUGAAAUGUUAUGUUUCUAAUGUCA